UCCUGUCUGAAUAUGGGGGGACCAUCCUCCAAGGCUAAAUACUCCUGACUGACCGAUAGUGAACCAGUACCGUGAGGGAAAGGCGAAAAGAACCCCGGCGAGGGGAGUGAAAAAGAACCUGAAACCGUGUACGUACAAGCAGUGGGAGCCCCACCACUAAGCCAGUGGUGAACUCCACAUACGCAUCCUUUGCUGAGGAURCGGUUAACGGAGCGAAAGCGACGUUCAACCKCAAAAGAAGCAGAGGGGGCUUAGUGGUGGGGUGACUGCGUACCUUUUGUAUAAUGGGUCAGCGACUUAUAUUCUGUAGCAAGGUUAACCGAAUAGGGGAGCCGGAGGGAAACCGAGUCUUAACCGGGCGUUAAGUUGCAGGGUAUAGACCCGAAACCCGGUGAUCUAGCCAUGGGCAGGUUGAAGGUUGGGUAACACUAACUGGAGGACCGAACCGACUAAUGUUGAAAAAUUAGCGGAUGACCUGUGGCUGGGGGUGAAAGGCCAAUCAAAC
rnacentral:rRNA from 1 species